rnacentral:lncRNA from 1 species
UGAAGAGGAGUUUGAAGAAUCAAGUGUCAAUGGGAACUUCUGGGGUCGCUGUCCUUUUUGGGGUUUUGAAAGUGGAAAAGAAUAAGUCAUUUAAUUUUUGUCGUGCUUGACUCUCAUUUUGUUCGAGGUAGAAGAUUGGAGAUAAUCUUUGUCAACAAAGGUUUACUCCGCGUGAAGCUAUUGGUUACCACCUUUGCUGUAGGUUUCUUUUUGCUUCUUUCUUUUGCCGUUUCGUGUCAAAACAAAACCUGUCAAAAAAUUAUGCUAACUGACUAUUGCUCUUGAGUCCUGGAUUGGAUCCUUGUGUCCAGUUGUUCGUUUCCUGGAGCAGGAUAAUC